rnacentral:rRNA from 1 species
UGGGGGAUAUUGCACAAUGGGGGAAACCCUGAUGCAGCGACGCCGCGUGGAGGAAGAAGGUUUUCGGAUUGUAAACUCCUGUCGUUAGGGACGAUAAUGACGGUACCUAACAAGAAAGCACCGGCUAACUACGUGCCAGCAGCCGCGGUAAAACGUAGGGUGCAAGCGUUGUCCGGAAUUACUGGGUGUAAAGGGAGCGCAGGCGGACCGGCAAGUUGGAAGUGAAAACUAUGGGCUCAACCCAUAAAUUGCUUUCAAAACUGCUGGCCUUGAGUAGUGCAGAGGUAGGUGGAAUUCCCGGUGUAGCGGUGGAAUGCGUAGAUAUCGGGAGGAACACCAGUGGCGAAGGCGACCUACUGGGCACCAACUGACGCUGAGGCUCGAAAGCAUGGGUAGCAAACAGGAUUAGAUACCCUGGUAGUCCAUGCCGUAAACGAUGAUUACUAGGUGUUGGAGGAUUGACCCCUUCAGUGCCGCAGUUAACACAAUAAGUAAUCCACCUGGGGAGUACGACCGCAAGGUUGAAACUCAAAGGAAUUGACGGGGGCCCGCACAAGCAGUGGAGUAUGUGGUUUAAUUCGAAGCAACGCGAAGAACCUUACCAGGUCUUGACAUCCGAUGCAUAGUGCAGAGAUGCAUGAAGUCCUUCGGGACAUCGAGACAGGUGGUGCAUGGUUGUCGUCAGCUCGUGUCGUGAGAUGUUGGGUUAAGUCCCGCAACGAGCGCAACCCUUAUUGCCAGUUACUACGAAAGAGGACUCUGGCGAGACUGCCGUUGACAAAACGGAGGAAGGUGGGGAUGACGUCAAAUCAUCAUGCCCUUUAUGACUUGGGCUACACACGUACUACAAUGGCGUUAAACAAAGAGAAGCAAGACCGCGAGGUGGAGCAAAACUCAGAAACAACGUCCCAGUUCGGACUGCAGGCUGCAACUCGCCUGCACGAAGUCGGAAUUGCUAGUAAUCGUGGAUCAGCAUGCCACGGUGAAUAUGUUCCC